rnacentral:ribozyme from 1 species
UAUUCAUUUUCCCUUUUUCUUUGUUCUUUACUUAUCAUCGCAUCGCAUGGGUUGAAUUUGAAAAAACAAAAAGGUUACUGGUGCUAGUAAAGGAAUCGGAAGAG